rnacentral:sRNA from 2 species
AUUUAACUCUGCGCAGUGCGUGAGGGAUAGUAACGGAAAUCCUUUUUGAACGCCCAUGCGUUCAAAAAGAUUGCAGUGGAUAGCCCGGCCCGAG